rnacentral:rRNA from 1 species
AGAGUUUGAUCCUGGCUCAGGAUGAACGCUAGCUACAGGCUUAACACAUGCAAGUCGAGGGGCAGCAUGGUCUUAGCUUGCUAAGGCUGAUGGCGACCGGCGCACGGGUGAGUAACACGUAUCCAACCUGCCGUCUACUCUUGGACAGCCUUCUGAAAGGAAGAUUAAUACAAGAUGGCAUCAUGAGUCCGCAUGUUCACAUGAUUAAAGGUAUUCCGGUAGACGAUGGGGAUGCGUUCCAUUAGAUAGUAGGCGGGGUAACGGCCCACCUAGUCUUCGAUGGAUAGGGGUUCUGAGAGGAAGGUCCCCCACAUUGGAACUGAGACACGGUCCAAACUCCUACGGGAGGCAGCAGUGAGGAAUAUUGGUCAAUGGGCGAGAGCCUGAACCAGCCAAGUAGCGUGAAGGAUGACUGCCCUAUGGGUUGUAAACUUCUUUUAUAAAGGAAUAAAGUCGGGUAUGGAUACCCGUUUGCAUGUACUUUAUGAAUAAGGAUCGGCUAACUCCGUGCCAGCAGCCGCGGUAAUACGGAGGAUCCGAGCGUUAUCCGGAUUUAUUGGGUUUAAAGGGAGCGUAGAUGGAUGUUUAAGUCAGUUGUGAAAGUUUGCGGCUCAACCGUAAAAUUGCAGUUGAUACUGGAUAUCUUGAGUGCAGUUGAGGCAGGCGGAAUUCGUGGUGUAGCGGUGAAAUGCUUAGAUAUCACGAAGAACUCCGAUUGCGAAGGCAGCUCACUGGACUGCAACUGACAUUGAUGCUCGAAAGUGUGGGUAUCAAACAGGAUUAGAUACCCUGGUAGUCCACACGGUAAACGAUGAAUACUCGCUGUUUGCGAUAUACUGCAAGCGGCCAAGCGAAAGCGUUAAGUAUUCCACCUGGGGAGUACGCCGGCAACGGUGAAACUCAAAGGAAUUGACGGGGGCCCG